CAGGCACAUCCAACAGUGUUGUCAAUAUUAUACUUGCGGUAUUCUACAAUUUCGUCAGAUCGCUGAUAUUGCGGAAAGAGAAGGCAACGUGUCAAAAAAUAGUUAUCGAAGUAUAGGUAAAGGAACUUAUGAAAGCAGAUAAUGUCCAGAUAUAAAACAAGCGAAGAAAAGAAACGAGCAGAAGGUCACACACGUUAUCACCAACAAACUUGUGCUUACAACACAAAAUAUUCAGAGGACAAAAUAAUUUCAAUUUACUCAAGCAUAUCGAAGCUUCCGUCGUGGUAAUAGAAACGACGGCUUCUACCUCUAACAACGGCCAUGCUUCGUUAAGAAGAUAAACUGAAAGAACUAAUAGAACUGCGACGGCAAUGUUUCAAUUUCUCAACCACUUUACAUAAAUCGUCGAUCCGACCAUGACUACUCCGUUUGUAAUGUUUUCCCAUCGUUAAUGAAGAGAAAACAACACCUCAAACACGAUAAUUAACGUACAAAAAAGAUGUGGCUUCCUCACGCACGAAUAACAUUAUGAAAAAACAAAGCACUCCGAUAUAAGGAGUUCUUUUUGGUUUUUACUUGAAGAUCGUGGCAUUAUCACGUAUGAAAUAGUUAUAAUUCGAACCGGACUUGAAUAUAGUU